AACGAACGCUGGCGGCAGGCUUAACACAUGCAAGUCGAACGCAUCCUUCGGGGUGAGUGGCAGACGGGUGAGUAACGCGUGGGAAUCUACCCAGUUCUACGGAACAACAGAGGGAAACUUCUGCUAAUACCGUAUACGCCCUAAGGGGGAAAGAUUUAUCGGAAUUGGAUGAGCCCGCGUAAGAUUAGCUAGUGGGUGAGGUAAUGGCUCACCAAGGCGACGAUCUUUAGCUGGUCUGAGAGGAUGAUCAGCCACACUGGGACGGAGACACGGCCCAGACUCCUACGGGAGGCAGCAGUGGGGAAUAUUGGACAAUGGGCGCAAGCCUGAUCCAGCCAUGCCGCGUGAGUGAUGAAGGCCUUAGGGUUGUAAAGCUCUUUCAGUGGGGAAGAUAAUGACGGUACCCACAGAAGAAGCCCCGGCUAACUUCGUGCCAGCAGCCGCCGUAAAAC
rnacentral:rRNA from 1 species